rnacentral:rRNA from 1 species
GACGAACGCUGGCGGCGUGCUUAACACAUGCAAGUCGAACGAGAAUCUACUGAAAGAGUUUUCGGACAAUGGCAGUAGAGGAAAGUGGCGGACGGGUGAGUAACGCGUGAGGAACCUGCCUUGAAGAGGGGGACAACAGUUGGAAACGACUGCUAAUACCGCAUGAAGCAUAGGGGUCGCAUGAUUCUUAUGCCAAAGAUUUAUCGCUUCAAGAUGGCCUCGCGUCUGAUUAGCUGGUUGGCGGGGUAACGGCCCACCAAGGCGACGAUCAGUAGCCGGACUGAGAGGUUGAACGGCCACAUUGGGACUGAGAUACGGCCCAGACUCCUACGGGAGGCAGCAGUGGGGAAUAUUGGGCAAUGGGCGCAAGCCUGACCCAGCAACGCCGCGUGAAGGAAGAAGGCUUUCGGGUUGUAAACUUCUUUUAAGAGGGAAGAGCAGAAGACGGUACCUCUAGAAUAAGCCACGGCUAACUACGUG